GCACACUUAGCUCAAUGGUUAGAGCUCCCUUCUAAAGUUUGGGUAAAAUAGAUCAUGGGUCCUAAUCCCAUAGUGCACA
rnacentral:tRNA from 1 species